AGACUCGCUUGAUUAGUAAAUUAGUAAAAUACAAUAAUAAGAAAUUUGCAAGCAAAGGCAAAGUGACGUGGAUGUAUAGUGUGUUUGAAAAUAAAAAAAUAUAGAACUACAUUUUAUCAAUUUCGGUCCGUUUAAAGUCUCCCUCUCCAUCUCCUCGAAAAAUUAUGCCUAAAUUGCUUCAAUGUCUGCGAAAAUUGCUAAAUAUCAGGUUCCUAAUUGUCUUUUGAAAUGGUCACUAGUAACCCUUUCUUUGGCAAUGAUUAUCAUAGUGUUGUCCUGAUUCAACAUUCUUCGCCAUGCAAUUAGUCUCAAAUGAUAGUAAUAGGGAAGAUAUUUCAGAAAGCGAACCCAUCCUACCUCGAACCAGCAUUUUGCAAAGAUCUGAAGAAUCUUCAUCUUCAUGCGAGAUUACAGCCGUGGGAGGGGAAUGCGCUAUUGGUGACUUACAAAGUCUUCAUCUUGAGGAAAGUUGUCAUCUGGUGAAUACGGACCAACCACAAUGCCGUAUAUGCCUUGAUAAUGGAGGAGAAGACUUAAUUGCACCAUGCCAUUGCAAGGGCACCCAGAAAUAUGUUCAUAGAUCUUGUCUUGAUAAUUGGAGGUCAACUAAGGAGGGCUUUGCUUUUGCUCACUGUACAGAGUGUAGGGCUAUGUUCAUAUUACGAGCAAAUGUCCCACCUGAUCGCUGGUGGUUGAGAUUGAAAUUCCAGUUUCUUGUUGCUAGGGAUCAUCUGUUCAUUUUUAUAAUUGUCCAGAUGAUUGUGGCUUUAUUGGGGGUACUUGUAUACAAGUUUUAUGGAGAUGAACUUAGGGAAAUGUUUGGAUAUGAAGAACACCCAUAUGGAUUUUAUGCAAUGGCUGUUUUAGCCAUCAUUUUGGUGGGUUUGCUCUAUGGUUUCUUCAUAGCUAUAAUAUGCGGUCAGAGGAUCAAUCAACGCCAUUACCAUGUUCUUGCCAAACAAGAACUAACAAAGGAGUAUGUGGUAGAAGACCGAGAAGAGAAUACAAAUGUCCCUGAACUCGACCCUAGCCAUGUGACAGAGCUCAAGAUGUUGGGUCUCUAUUAACUUGAAAGUCUGUACCCCUGCUUAAUUUCUGGAAUAUUGCUGGAAGUGUUAAGAAAAGCAAUUGGUGGGAGUUGAGGGCUCUAAAAGAGUUGGGUGUAGAGAGGGCAGCUAUAGAUGAUUGCGGAAUUGAAGCCUGUAAAGUAAAAUUUUCUGGAAAAGUGAUAUAUGGUAAAACUUUCGAUGUUGCCACCAACUGAAAAGAAUCCACAAUAAAACUUAGGAAUUGCUGAAACUGACUUGAUUGAAAAGCAUCCACUUCAAGAUCAACUUCAGAAAGAAUGCCAAUUUACAAACUACAGCGAGAAAGGGGUCUUAAAACGAUUGAAAGCAAUGAAACCCAGAGAGUAAACAAAGUAAAUGCCAUCUGUCUCGUUAUCUCUUACACACACACGCACAUCUCGUUUUAUUGUUAUUUUCUUCUUAAAGAUACAUGUAUUAUUACGUGUACAUGUAAAUUUGACAUCCCUUGUGUUGUAGUUUUUAUUUUAUUUUAUUUUAUUUUAACCAAUGCAAGCUAUAGAUUGUCGUACAGCUUGGAUUCAACCUAAAUUUUGUUCUUCGUAUAUUUUUCAAAGAAUUUCUUUCAUA